UACCCUGGUUUUAUCUCUCUUAUAUGAAUCCUGUUUUUCUUUCGAAUUAGAGAUAAAAAUCAUGUUUUUAUAGUUCUUCAACUCUCUCCAAGAUGUUCUGAUCACUUUUGAUGGAUGGAAGAUGGUUUUAACUUAAUCCAAUUGUCCGUUAUUUAUACCGCUAUAAGUAUCUGCAACCGAAGCUGAGAGGAAUCUGUAUACCAACUGUGAGUUCAAAAUUUGAGUUAAGUUGAUAUGCAAUCAAGAAUAGAAAACUGCAAUCUCUUAUAUAUCUAACACAGUCAGUUCAUGGUAUAUCACUUAUCUUGAGACAGGGCUUGUUUUUUUUUCAUCUACCCAUGGGGCAUCGGCUGAACACGUUGUGUACUAAAUUGGCAUUUCCAGUGAUUUUAGUGACAAAAAUACUAAAACACUAAAUUGGCGGAAGGUGUCUGGUGUUAGGUUUCUGGUUUUCUUCCGUGGUGUUGAAAUUCGAACGACCAGGGUACUGUGUAUUUGCCUUUGGGCUUUUCUAGUAUGUCAUUCUCAACAAUUGAAAGAAUAAACAAAGGCAUAACUCUGAUUCUAAGGCAAUCCUAUGGAAAAUUCUUGGCUGCUCAACACUCAUGCUCUCUCUCCUCACCAGGCAUAAUUUUGGCCUUUUUUGUUUCCUGCGAAAUGGGCACAUCAACUUCCGUAUCUGAAUUUCAUCUUUGAAACAGAUAAUCGUGAUGUAUUUUUUUAUCUUCACAACAUCAUACUCAUCUUCCUCCUUGGCAGAGUUCUCCUCUUCUACAAAACAAUGUCUUGAUAUUUAUGCCUAGAAAGUUCAGCCGUGGAUUGAGUGUGAAAAGUAGGGGUGUGCAAAAUCCCCGGUAAAAACCAAUCCGCAAGAGACUAUGGGCCGGUCAAGGGUGAAUUCUCAAAUCCGCGAGGUUUAACGGUUUGGUUACGUUUGGAUUUUGAAAUCCGCGGAUUCACCCGCACCCUAGGACAGUAAACUUCUUAUCUUUUUAUCUACGUGCGGACACACAAAUGUCUCAACCAAAACU